GGGUUGUGAGGUUAAGCGACUAAGCGUACACGGUGGAUGCCCUGGCAGUCAGAGGCGAUGAAGGACGUGCUAAUCUGCGAAAAGCGCCGGCGAGGUGAUAUGAACCCUUGACCCGGCGAUGUCCGAAUGGGGAAACCCAGUGCAAUCCGUUGCACUAUCGUUAACUGAAUACAUAGGUUAACGAGGCGAACCGGGGGAACUGAAACAUCUAAGUACCCCGAGGAAAAGAAAUCAACCGAGAUUCCCCAGUAGCGGCGAGCGAACGGGGAGCAGCCCGGAGUCUGAAUCAGCUUGUGUGUUAGUGGAACGGUCUGGAAAGUCCGACGGUACAGGGUGAUAGUCCCGUACACGAAAGCACACAUGCUGUGAACUCGAAGAGUAGGGCGGGACACGUGGUAUCCUGUCUGAAUAUCGGGGGACCAUCCUCCAAGGCUAAAUACUCCUGACUGACCGAUAGUGAACCAGUACCGUGAGGGAAAGGCGAAAAGAACCCCGGCGAGGGGAGUGAAAAAGAACCUGAAACCGUGUACGUACAAGCAGUGGGAGCCUCUUUAUGGGGUGACUGCGUACCUUUUGUAUAAUGGGUCAGCGACUUAUAUUCUGUAGCAAGGUUAACCGUAUAGGGGAGCCGAAGGGAAACCGAGUCUUAACUGGGCGUUAAGUUGCAGGGUAUAGACCCGAAACCCGGUGAUCUAGCCAUGGGCAGGUUGAAGGUUGGGUAACACUAACUGGAGGACCGAACCGACUAAUGUUGAAAAAUUAGCGGAUGACCUGUGGCUGGGGGUGAAAGGCCAAUCAAACCGGGAGAUAGCUGGUUCUCCCCGAAAGCUAUUUAGGUAGCGCCUCGUGAACUCAUCUUCGGGGGUAGAGCACUGUUUCGGCUAGGGGGCCAUCCCGGCUUACCAACCCGAUGCAAACUACGAAUACCGAAGAAUGUUAUCACGGGAGACACACGGCGGGUGCUAACGUCCGUCGUGAAGAGGGAAACAACCCAGACCGCCAGCUAAGGUCCCAAAGUCAUGGUUAAGUGGGAAACGAUGUGGGAAGGCACAGACAGCCAGGAUGUUGGCUUAGAAGCAGCCAUCAUUUAAAGAAAGCGUAAUAGCUCACUGGUCGAGUCGGCCUGCGCGGAAGAUGUAACGGGGCUAAACCAUGCACCGAAGCUGCGGCAGCGACACUAUGUGUUGUUGGGUAGGGGAGCGUUCUGUAAGCCGUUGAAGGUGUGCUGUGAGGCAUGCUGGAGGUAUCAGAAGUGCGAAUGCUGACAUAAGUAACGAUAAAGCGGGUGAAAAGCCCGCUCGCCGGAAGACCAAGGGUUCCUGUCCAACGUUAAUCGGGGCAGGGGUGAGUCGACCCCUAAGGCGAGGCCGAAAGGCGUAGUCGAUGGGAAACAGGUUAAUAUUCCUGUACUUGGUGUUACUGCGACGGGGGGACGGAGAAGGCUAUGUCAGCCGGGCGACGGUUGUCCCGGUUUAAGCAUGUAGGCGGAGGUUCCGGGUAAAUCCGGUACCUUUUUAACGCUGAGGUGUGAUGACGAGGCACUACGGUGCUGAAGUGAUAAAUGCCCUGCUUCCGGGGAAAAGCCUCUAAGCAUCAGGUAACACGAAAUCGUACCCCAAACCGACACAGGUGGUCAGGUAGAGAAUACCAAGGCGCUUGAGAGAACUCGGGUGAAGGAACUAGGCAAAAUGGUGCCGUAACUUCGGGAGAAGGCACGCUGAUGUGUAGGUGAAGCCCCUGCGGGUGGAGCUGAAAUCAGUCGAAGAUACCAGCUGGCUGCAACUGUUUAUUAAAAACACAGCACUGUGCAAACACGAAAGUGGACGUAUACGGUGUGACGCCUGCCCGGUGCCGGAAGGUUAAUUGAUGGGGUUAGCGGCAACGCGAAGCUCUUGAUCGAAGCCCCGGUAAACGGCGGCCGUAACUAUAACGGUCCUAAGGUAGCGAAAUUCCUUGUCGGGUAAGUUCCGACCUGCACGAAUGGCGUAAUGAUGGCCAGGCUGUCUCCACCCGAGACUCAGUGAAAUUGAACUCGCUGUGAAGAUGCAGUGUACCCGCGGCAAGACGGAAAGACCCCGUGAACCUUUACUAUAGCUUGACACUGAACACUGGUCCUUGAUGUGUAGGAUAGGUGGGAGGCUUUGAAGCGUGGACGCCAGUCUGCGUGGAGCCGCCCUUGAAAUACCACCCUUUAAUGGCUGGUGUUCUAACGUGGACCCGUAAUCCGGGUUGCGGACAGUGUCUGGUGGGUAGUUUGACUGGGGCGGUCUCCUCCCAAAGAGUAACGGAGGAGCACGAAGGUUGGCUAAUCCUGGUCGGACAUCAGGAGGUUAGUGCAAUGGCAUAAGCCAGCUUGACUGCGAGCGUGACGGCGCGAGCAGGUGCGAAAGCAGGUCAUAGUGAUCCGGUGGUUCUGAAUGGAAGGGCCAUCGCUCAACGGAUAAAAGGUACUCCGGGGAUAACAGGCUGAUACCGCCCAAGAGUUCAUAUCGACGGCGGUGUUUGGCACCUCGAUGUCGGCUCAUCACAUCCUGGGGCUGAAGUAGGUCCCAAGGGUAUGGCUGUUCGCCAUUUAAAGUGGUACGCGAGCUGGGUUUAGAACGUCGUGAGACAGUUCGGUCCCUAUCUGCCGUGGGCGCUGGAGAAUUGAGGGGGGCUGCUCCUAGUACGAGAGGACCGGAGUGGACGCAUCACUGGUGUUCGGGUUGUCAUGCCAAUGGCACUGCCCGGUAGCUAAAUGCGGAAGAGAUAAGUGCUGAAAGCAUCUAAGCACGAAACUUGCCCCGAGAUGAGUUCUCCCUGAGACUUUAAGUCUCCUGAAGGAACGUUGAAGACGACGACGUUGAUAGGUCGGGUGUGUAAGCGCAGCGAUGCGUUGAGCUAACCGAUACUAAUGAACCGUGAGGCUUAACCUUACAACGCCGAAGGUGUUU
rnacentral:rRNA from 1 species